CCGGACUCCAUCAGCUGGCGUUUGGACAAUUCGGGACAAUGCAGUGUGAGCUCGGCCUAUAAUUUUCAGUUUCUGAACAGACCAAAUUCAGACAACAAGCACCUUAUCUGGAAGGUCUGGGCCCCUGGAAAAACCAAGAUAUUCUUCUGGUUGCUGCUACAAAAUCGUCUCUGGUGCAACGACAGAUUACAACGAGUAGGUUGGGAAAAUGGUUAUUUUUGCCCGUUGUGCAUGAGGAACCUAGAAACUUCAGUCCACCUCUUCUGUGAAUGCCGGGUAUCACAGGAAGUUUGGCGCCAAAUAUCCACCUGGCCGGAUGCAACACUCUUUCUGACAGCAAUGCAGUGCCCAUACAUUCUUCAGAACAAAGAGUUAAAGCAGUGA
rnacentral:rRNA from 1 species